CCUACGGGAGACAGCAGUAGGGAAUAUUGCUCAAUGGGGGAAACCCUGAAGCAGCAACGCCGCGUGGAGGAUGAAGGUUUUCGGAUUGGAAACUCCUUUUGUUAGAGAAGAUAAUGACGGUAUCUAACGAAUAAGCACCGGCUAACUCCGUGCCAGCAGCCGCGGUAAUACGGAGGGUGCAAGCGUUACUCGGAAUCACUGGGCGUAAAGAGCGCGUAGACGGGAUAGCAAGUCAGAUGUGAAAUCCUAUGGCUUAACCAUAGAACUGCAUUUGAAACUGUUAUUCUAGAGUAUGGGAGAGGUAGGUGGAAUUCUUGGUGUAGGGGUAAAAUCCGUAGAGAUCAAGAGGAAUACUCAUUGCGAAGGCGACCUGCUAGAACAUAACUGACGCUGAUGCGCGAAAGCGUGGGGAGCAAACAGGAUUAGAUACCCGAGUAGUC
rnacentral:rRNA from 1 species